UGGGGAAUUUUGCACAAUGGGGGAAACCCUGAUGCAGCGACGCCGCGUGAUUUAGAAGGCCUUCGGGUUGUAAAAAUCUUUUCAAUGGGAAGAAAAUGACAGUACCAUAGGAAUAAGGACCGGCUAAUUACGUGCCAGCAGCCGCGGUAAUACGUAAGGUCCGAGCGUUGUCCGGAAUCAUUGGGCGUAAAGGGUACGUAGGCGGGUAAGCAAGUUAGAAGUGAAAUCCUGUAGCUCAACUAUAGUAAGCUUUUAAAACUGCUCAUCUUGAGAUAUGGAAGGGAAAGUGGAAUUCCUAGGGUAACGGUGAAAUGCGCAGAUAUUAGGAGGAAUACCGGUGGCGAAGGCGACUUUCUGGCCAUAAUCUGACGCUGAGGUACGAAAGCGUGGGUAGCAAACAGG
rnacentral:rRNA from 1 species